CAGAAGCAGGGAGGAACCUUCCUGAAGCAUUGAGUCAGGUACUUUGGCUCUAGCCAAGGUUAAGAAACUGCAGCUUUAGCAGGUUUUCUUCCUUCUGGGUGUUCUCUUAAACCAGCAAACCUGGUGGCAAAAACUGCACACUGAUGGUAAUAUAGGGAUAUCUUUCUGAAUAAAAUGACUGGCUGUGUUUUAAUCAAGCAGAAAUUAAGAGUUCAGAGGAGACAUUUAAGGGCAAAGUCCAUGUGAAAAGCUGAGUGUAACAGACCAGGACACCACUUCAAUG
rnacentral:lncRNA from 1 species